rnacentral:rRNA from 1 species
GACGAACGCUGGCGGCGUGCCUAAUACAUGCAAGUCGAACGCAGUGGGGACGGGUGAGUAACAAGUGGGUAAACUCACAUCAGAGGGGAGAACACUUGGAAACAGGUGCUAAACCGAGACUGAUGGAUGGACACGCGGUGCAUUAGCUAGUUGGUGAGGUAACGGCUCACAAAGGCCACGAUGCAUAGCCGACCUGAGAGGGUUGUCUGCCACACUGGGACUGCGACCCGGCCCAGACUCCUACGGGAGGCAGCAGUAGGGAAUCUUCGGCAAUGGGCGAAAGUCUGACCCAGCAACGCCGCGUGAGUGAAGAAGGUUUUCGGAUCGUAAAGCUCUUUUGUUUGAGAAGCGGUAUCUAACCAGAAAGCCACGGCUAACUACGUGCCAGCAGCCGCGGUAAUUC